CAAUAGCGUAUAUUAAAGUUGUUGCAGUUAAAAAGCUCGUAGUUGGAUUUGUGGCGUACAGUGUGUUCCGGGCACUUGUUGUCUGAGUAACCUGCUGUUGCCAUCCUUGGGUGGAACCUGUGUGGCAUUAGGUUGUCGUGCAGGGGAUGCCCAUCAUUUACUGUGAAAAAAUUAGAGUGUUCAAAGCAGGCUUAUGCCGUUGAAUAUAUUAGCAUGGAAUAAUGAGAUAGGACUUUUUUGCUAUUUUGUUGGUUUGCGCAAAGAGGUAAUGAUUAAUAGGGACAGUUGGGGGUAUUCGUAUUCCAUUGUCAGAGGUGAAAUUCUUGGAUUUUUGGAAGACGAACUACUGCGAAAGCAUUUACCAAGGAUGUUUUCAUUAA
rnacentral:rRNA from 1 species